rnacentral:misc_RNA from 1 species
AACGCACAUUGCGCCCCCUGGUAUUCCGGGGGGCAUGCCCGUUCGAGCGUCAUUUCAAACCCUCAAGCACCGCUUGGCCAUGGGCGUCCACGCCCCCCGCACGUUCGGGGGGCGCGCCCCAAAGACCUCGGCGGUGGCAUCGAGCCUCUGAGCGCAGUAGAAACACCCCGCUUCCUGAGGCCCGGCGUCGCCCGCCACCAGCACCCCACACCUUCAAGGUUGACCUCGGAUCGGGUAGGGAUACCCGCUGAACUUAA